GUCUGAGGUAAGACAUCCAAGAAGGAACUGGCCCAUGGAGAAAAGGCAAACACUUUUUGGCCUUUGCUUCCUGAUUCAUAAAUACUCCCCAGGUGAGUAUUACUGAUGUGCUGGAUUAUGAUGCCACCAGAGAGAAAACAUCUACAGAAGAGAGAUGAGAAAACAAGUUCAGAAAAAAAGACAUACAUCAUCAUCCAACCAGAUGGAGGCAAAGCCUGGUGGAACAUAGGUCACCAGCUUCAGACUUCCUGCUUUUUCUGUUUACCUACCUUAUGGCUACGAAGAGUAUUUGAAGACAGAGAAAACCAGAAUGAAAGUGGUUCAAAGAGUGCUGGAUUUGAAGUCUGGUACCUGGGACAAAUCCCAGCUCUACCACUGAUUACCUGAGUGACCUUGGGAAACUCAUGUAGCCUUUACUGCUUUCAAUGUCUUCAUCCAUAAAAUGAUGAGGUUGGACUAGAUGGCCUUUGAAUGUUCUUCCAGCUCUGAAUUUAUAAUCCUAGGAUUCUACCCAAGUGGAUAAAUUUCUAUUUUGCUGCAGACUUUGUUCAAUCUCCUUGCCAGGGCUUGUGAGGUUGACAGUCCUAAGUACAGUCCUCUGUUUCUCUUGAUUUGGGUUAAGAUGUGAGAUUUUAUUGAUAUUGGGAAUUCUCUCUGAGAAGAUCUCUCUUAACAGUGAAGAGAAACUCUAUCUAGCCUUAAGGAGUUACCUGGGGCAGUGAGAGGCAAAUAUCAGUAUGUGUCAGAAGAGAAACUUCAACAUGAAUCUCCCUAACUCCAAGGUCAGCUUUCUAUCUACUACAUCACAGUCUAAUGUUAUACAGAAUAUCAUUCACAGACUUGGAAAGGACCCAGAAGUCAUCAGUAGGUUUAUACCAUAUCUGAAGGUAUCAGCUUCUGGCCCCUAUCUCCCCUUUGUUAGCAAUAAAAGCAAUUAUUUAAGCCUGUAAUUGCA
ensembl:lncRNA